rnacentral:misc_RNA from 1 species
CUGUGUUCAUCGGGAGGAUAUGCUUGAAGUCAUUCAAUUGAGGAAAUCAUUCUUAGUCUUCUUAGAGCUUUUCGUUGUGAAGAUAGACUUUCUCAUACGAUAAAUAAGAAAUAGAUAAUUCCUAUUAAUGAAAUGAUUGAUCCAAUUGAAGAAACUAUAUUUCAGAUUAAGAAAGCGUCAGGGUAGUCUGAGUAACGACGAGGUAUCCCCCUAAGUCCUAGGAAAUGUUGUGGAAAAAAUGUUAAAUUUACUCCAAUAAAUAUAAUAAUAAAUUGAAUUUUUAAGAAAUAAUUGUUUAAUGUAACUCCGGUAAAGAGGGGGAAUCAUUGAAUAAUUCCUGCUAUAAUAGCAAAUACAGCCCCCAUAGAAAGAACAUAGUGAAAGUGAGCAACUACGUAGUAAGUAUCAUGAAGGAUAAUAUCAAUUGAAGAGUUAGCUAAGACUACUCCCGUUAAUCCUCCCACCGUGAAAAGAAAGACAAAUCCUAAGGCUCAUAUGGUUACUGGUCUAUUUAAAAUUUGUGUACCAUGAAAAGUUGCUAAUCAUCUAAAUACUUUAAUUCCAGUAGGGACUGCAAUAAUUAUAGUUGCAGAGGUAAAAUAGGCUCGUGUAUCUACAUCUAUUCCAAUAGUGAAUAUAUGAUGGGCUCAUACUACAAAUCCUAAUAAUCCAAUUGCUAUUAUAGCAUAAAUUAUUCCAAGAGUGCCAAAGGCUUCUUUUUUACCUCUUUCUUGUCUAAUAAUAUGAGAAAUUAUACCAAAUCCUGGUAAAAUUAAAAUAUAGACUUCUGGGUGGCCGAAGAAUCAAAAUAAGUGUUGAUAGAGAAUGGGGUCUCCCCCUCCUGCGGGGUCAAAGAAUGAAGUGUUUAAAUUUCGGUCUGUUAAUAAUAUAGUAAUAGCACCGGCUAAUACUGGGAGUGAUAGAAGGAGUAAAAUUGCUGUGAUUGUAACUGCCCAUGAGAAUAGGGGUAUUUGGUCUAUUUUUAUUCCUCUUGGUCGUAUAUUGAUUACAGUAGUAAUAAAAUUUACAGCUCCUAGAAUAGAGGAGAUUCCUGCUAAAUGAAGUCUAAAAAUGGCUAAGUCAACAGAUGAUCCUCUAUGGGCAAUGUUGCUGGCUAAUGGGGGGUAAACUGUUCACCCAGUACCUGCCCCCCUUUCGACUAGUCUUCUUAUUAAAAGGAGAAUUAAUGAGGGAGGUAGUAAUCAAAAUCUUAUAUUAUUUAUUCGUGGGAAAGCCAUAUCAGGGGCUCCUAAUAUUAGGGGAACAAGUCAGUUUCCGAAUCCCCCAAUUAUAAUUGGUAUAACUAUAAAAAAAAUUAUAAUGAAAGCAUGUGCAGUAACGAUUACGUUAUAAAUUUGAUCAUUUCCAAUUAGUGAUCCUGGGUUACCUAAUUCGGCUCGAAUUAAUAUUCUUAGUGAGGUACCUGCUAUUCCAGCUCAGGCCCCAAAAAUAAAGUAUAAUGUACCG